GAUGAACGCUGGCGGCGUGCCUAAUACAUGCAAGUAGAACGCUGAAGGAAGGAGCUUGCUCUUUCCGGAUGAGUUGCGAACGGGUGAGUAACGCGUAGGUAACCUGCCUGGUAGCGGGGGAUAACUAAUGGAAACGAUAGCUAAUACCGCAUAACAGUAGAUGUUGCAUGAUAUCUACUUAAAAGGUGCAAUUGCACCACUACCAGAUGGACCAGCGUUGUAUUAGCUAGUUGGUGAGGUAACGGCUCACCAAGGCGACGAUACAUAGCCGACCUGAGAGGGGGAUCGGCCACACUGGGACUGAGACACGGCCCAGACUCCUACGGGAGGCAGCAGUAGGGAAUCUUCGGCAAUGGACGGAAGUCGGACCGAGCAACGCCGCGUGAGUGAGGAAGGUUUUCGGAUCGUAAAGCUCUGUUGUAAGAGAAGAACGAGUGUGAGAGUGGAAAGUUCACACUGUGACGGUAUCUUACCAGAAAGGGACGGCUAACUACGUG
rnacentral:rRNA from 1 species